UACGUAGGGUGCAAGCGUUGUCCGAAUUAUUGGGCGUAAAGCGCACGUAGGCGGCAUUGCAAGUCGGAUGUGAAAUCCCUCGGCUUAACCAAGGAAGUGCAUCCGAAACUGCAGUGCUUGAGUACUUAAGAGGAUCGCGGAAUUCCCGGUGUAGAGGUGAAAUUCGUAGAUAUCGGGAGGAACACCAGUGGCGAAGGCGGCGAUCUGGGAAGAUACUGACGCUGAGGUGCGAAAGCGUGGGGAGCAAACAGG
rnacentral:rRNA from 1 species